rnacentral:rRNA from 1 species
AGAGUUUGAUCCUGGCUCAGGAUGAACGCUGGCGGCGUGCUUAACACAUGCAAAGUCGAAACGACUAAAAGCUCACUUCGGUGAGUGCAUAGAGUGGCGAACGUGUGAGUAACACGUGGGCAACCUACCCCUCACACUGGGAUAACUCAGGGAAACCUGAGCUAAUACCGGAUACUCCGGCGGAAUCGCAUGGUUCUGUUGGGAAAGCUCCGGCGGUGAGGGACGGGCCCGCGGCCCAUUAGCUUGUUGGUGAGGUAACGGCUCACCAAGGCUGCGAUGGGUAGCCGAGCUGAGAGGCUGAUCGGCCACACUGGGACUGAGACACGGCCCAGACUCCUACGGGAGGCAGCAGCUAAGAAUAUUCCGCAAUGGACGAAAGUCUGACGGAGCGACGCCGCGUGGAUGAUGAAGGCCGAAAGGUUGUAAAGUCCUUUUUGCUGGGGAAGAAUAAGUGUGGGAGGGAAUGCCCGCAUGAUGACAUGAACCGGCGAAUAAGCCCGGCCAGCUACGUGCCAGCCGCCGCGGUAAUA